CUCCGUGGAAGGGGACCCGCUCCCUCUGUAGAUAAAAACGGCUUAUUCUAAGCUCCUCCUAAAAGUUCCACACUGGAGCUUUAAAGAAAUUGGAAGAAUUCAACCACACAAUGAGGGUAAUGUCCAUUAGGGGGCAGUACUCCAUUUUGAUACCUCCCCACGUAAUGCAGAAUUGACAGAUUGUUCACACCCUUUGUCAGGAAACAAAAAUAAAAAAUAAACAACUUAUAAAACAGCAGGAAAGCUGAGGUCAACUAAACUAACCCCUGGUUUAUGGCUAAUUUCCAGCAUUAAUAUACAAAUUUAACCUGUCAGCAAUUUUUAACAUUUUCUAUCUCUUGACAAUUUUAUCUCAAAAGAGAUAUAAGAGAUAUACAUUUGGAAUGAGGUAUUCCAGUGUUUCAGUUUUACUACAUUUGUAUCACUUUCAAGAAAAAGAUUUUCAGUGUAGCCCCGAGGUUAGCAUCAACUUCAGCCCUGGAGGAAAACAAAGUCUUCCCUGUGCUUCCCGAACACAGUCUUCCUCCAGGGCUGAAGUUGAUGCUAACCUCGGGGCUACACCGAAAAUCUUUUUCUUAAAAGAAAAAAACAAAACAAUGAUGUCAUCAUUCAUCCCAAUGUUUCACUGAUGACAUCGUCAUAUGCCAAUUUGGUAGAUAUCGCCCACCCUAAUCUGGAGUAUCAGGGACACUGUGUCUGGAAAGAGAUGAUGUUGUUAAAUUAUUUGAAUGUAUUUUUUCACAGCAGCACAAACUAAAUUCCAUUCACCUCAUUCAUGAAUGCUAGUCCAAUAUUCACUCUCUCUCUGUUUUGGUCUCCACCAACUCCCGAGAAAAAUAUCUGGCUUAGCUGCUAAAUGCUCCACUGUGUUCACCAGCUAGCUGUUAACUGUGUCUGUGUGCUGUUUGCUGCAGGGCAGGUAGUGUACUGUGGGUUUAUCAGGGCUUCUUUUGUUGAAAAGAACUGGCUGCUGCUGCUGGAAGCGAGGUUGAUGAGAACAAAAACAGUAAAGUUGUGGGGUGUAAAGCCAAAACAAUGAACUGAAAGAUGCAAAAAGCUUCCGUAGAGCUGAGCAGAUCUGCAGAUUGCUAAUUCUCUGUGGGUUCAUCACUAUGAAAGACACCUUUCACAUUACACAUGGUCAUCUGAGCCAUUGUAAAUAUAAAAAUAUUGAUUAGAGCGGCUUUAAAGUAUUCUAUUCUAAAGUUGUCCUGUUUUGUCCAUAUAAUGCCACCAUAGCAUGGACUCAAAUUUUAAAACCUAUUUGACACUGCUCAAAAACAUUAGAAGCAUAACGAGGGAGUAUAUAUUGCAUGCCCCCCCCCGUGUACCUUCAGUUAGUAUACAGUAGUAACUACCAUUUUGUAAGGUGAAUAUGCAGUGUGCAUGUUGAAUAAAAGUACACAGAUCACA